AUCUCGCGUGAGCGAUGUUAGCGGAAAUCCUUUGGCUUGGCGCGAGGCGGCGGAGCGUAGCGGAGCCGUCCGAGCGUCAAGCCAAAGAUUGUAGCGGACGUAGCGACCCAAG
rnacentral:misc_RNA from 1 species